CCCAUGUUCACCCCACCUCCAUCUGCCAAGACAGGAGCAUCUCUGGACGGGUAACCUGAGUCCAGACCCUUGACUUUCCCUGGGCUUGGCUUAGCAUUUGUCCCUGAAUGGCAUGACUCGACCAUUCUCCCGAAUGCUGCUCCUCGGCUUAGGCCUGUCCCCGUGACCCCAAGACCUUGGAGAGCACCCUGUUCUGGCUCUCUGGAGGGAAUCGGACUCUCCCUAACUACAAGCGCCCAGCUACAGCAAAUCCAUGGCCACCGUUACAGGAACAACUUCAGCACUGUCAGCUGAGGUCGGAACCCUUCUGGAGCUCUCCAGAAGUCCCCAGAUUUACAUGAAACAUUGGUCACCGGGGUGAAGGGAACCCUGCUUCCCAAGUC
rnacentral:lncRNA from 1 species